UGCCGCGUGAGUGAAGAAGGCCUUCGGGUUGUAAAGCUCUUUUGUCAGGGAAGAAAAGGCUGUGGCUAAUAUCUACGGCUCAUGACGGUACCUGAAGAAUAAGCACCGGCUAACUACGUGCCAGCAGCCGCGGUAAUACGUAGGGUGCAAGCGUUAAUCGGAAUUACUGGGCGUAAAGCGUGCGCAGGCGGUUUUGUAAGACUGUCGUGAAAUCCCCGGGCUCAACCUGGGAAUGGCGAUGGUGACUGCAAGGCUAGAGUUUGGCAGAGGGGGGUAGAAUUCCACGUGUAGCAGUGAAAUGCGUAGAUAUGUGGAGGAACACCGAUGGCGAAGGCAGCCCCCUGGGUCAAAACUGACGCUCAUGCACGAAAGCGUGGGGAGCAAACAGGAUUAGAUACCCUGGUAGUCCACGCCCUAAACGAUGUCUACUAGUUGUCGGGUCUUAAUUGACUUGGUAACGCAGCUAACGCGUGAAGUAGACCGCCUGGGGAGUACGGUCGCAAGAUUAAAACUCAAAGGAAUUGACGGGGACCCGCACAAGCGGUGGAUGAUGUGGAUUAAUUCGAUGCAACGCGAAAAACCUUACCUACCCUUGACAUGGAUGGAAUCCUUGAGAGA
rnacentral:rRNA from 1 species